UGAGCUGUUGACUAAUAGGUAAGUCACCAAGAUUUGAGUUUGGUAUAUGUUUGUUCAAAUCAAACCAGUUCAA
rfam:Ashbya gossypii (= Eremothecium gossypii) ATCC 10895 mitochondrion, complete genome.